rnacentral:sRNA from 1 species
UCUUAGCUAUUAAUCCAAAUCUUAUUCCCUAAAUAAGUAAUGAAGAUUAAUAACUUAGACCACAUGCACAUUAAAGAUUGGCUCAAAUCUUUGCAAAAAAAGAGCUGUAAAAUACAGCAGCAAUAAUUAGUAAUGAUGAUAAGCCUUGGGAAAGCUUUUGAAUGAAUGUUAAAGUUGCAGUGAAAGUUGGUUAAUGUGCUACAACUG